UCAGGCCUAACACAUGCAAGUCGAGCGGCAGCGGGAAAGUAGCUUGCUACUUUUGCCGGCGAGCGGCGGACGGGUGAGUAAUGCCUGGGAAAUUGCCCAGUCGAGGGGGAUAACAGUUGGAAACGACUGCUAAUACCGCAUACGCCCUACGGGGGAAAGCAGGGGACCUUCGGGCCUUGCGCGAUUGGAUAUGCCCAGGUGGGAUUAGCUAGUUGGUGAGGUAAUGGCUCACCAAGGCGACGAUCCCUAGCUGGUCUGAGAGGAUGAUCAGCCACACUGGAACUGAGACACGGUCCAGACUCCUACGGGAGGCAGCAGUGGGGAAUAUUGCACAAUGGGGGAAACCCUGAUGCAGCCAUGCCGCGUGUGUGAAGAAGGCCUUCGGGUUGUAAAGCACUUUCAGCGAGGAGGAAAGGUUGAUGCCUAAUACGUAUC
rnacentral:rRNA from 1 species